AGCACCAUGCAUUUUUCCCUUCCUAGUGGCCUAGGAAAGAUGCUCAACAAUUUUCAUUAUAUUUGAAUGUUGAUGUCAACUUGUCCCUAGGAAUGAAGGGCCUUCAAGCAGUUAGGCAAAAUACUGUCGCACAAGAUUCUGUCCUGCUUCUGGGUUGCAGGAACCACCUGAAUUGCCAUCUAACCCCUGGGGCAAGUCCAACAAGGAACUGGCUACCUGAAGGAGGUGCCCCAGGCAAAACACAGAUGAGGAUAACAAAGUUCCACGGGGAGGAACCUACCUGGAGAACAACGAGAAGAGUCCUGCUUCAGCUGUGCCAAAGAAUGGGUUCUUUUUCUUAUGGCAGCCACAUGCAGCCACAGCGGUGGUGUUGAAAUGGGAAAGGUUCCCCCGUCCCCCUUGCAGGGCGUGCGAUGGGGUGUGCUCGCCUCUUCAGUGCCCCGUUGGUCAUACCUCUAGUGGGGCAUAGAGAUGGGCAGGUUGUGGGGCUCCAACCCCAUGGCAGUGUCUAAGGGUGGAUGUUUACAGCUGAAGCCCCAGAGGGCGUGUGUUCCAGGGUGCGCUCUUAGUUCACGGUCUAUAGCUCAGUUAGACCCUCUACCUUGUCAUAAGGCCAGAGGGCUUUCUGUAUCCCGGGUUCUUGCCUUGGUGUACCGGAAGAAUCGGAUCACACGUGGGCUUGGAGAAUGACUGCAAAAUCGUAUUGAGUGGAAGUAACUCUCCACCGACAGGAGAGUCAGAAAGGAGAUGGUUUUCCCCCGGAGUUGGGCAGCUCCAGAAGGGAGAUGGCUUUCCCCUGGAGUUGGGCCGCUGGGUGCCCGGGCUGUCCUCCUACUGCCCAGGACAAACUCCACCUCGUCCCACCGGUCGAUGGCCUGCCGGGGAGCCCGCGGGCGAGCCGGCGUCUGUAGGUGUGUUCUUCUGCUGACAUGCUCUCCGUGACCAGCCGCUUCUGUCUUCUUCCACUGAUGCGUUCCUCUCGCCCUCCAGCAGCUUCUGUCUCUGCCUUGCUAGGGUCGUGGGUGUUUAUAGGCCCAGGCUGGGGGCGUGGCGGGCCAGGGUGCUCUUGGAAAAGCAGGAGUGCCUGUCCUCGCCUAGGUCCCUGGGGCUAGAGGCCUAGUCACGGACUCUGCCCUUUCUACCCCGCGCUUUCCUUCCCGGCUUCCGUAUCAUUUAAAGGGACCGUGCUCUUCCUUUCCCAGCACUCCGGCUUGAGUGUUAAAUGGCCAGCAGGAAUUAUCCACUAGAGAAGCGGAAGGGAGAGAAUGGAAAUGGCCGCAUGCAGCUCCUCUCCCUCAGACAGCUCGGGGCUCAGCGGAAUGAGCACAGUCUGCAGGACAAGUGCGGAGGACUUCAGUCCCCUCUACUGUAUAUUGGCUUUAGGACUCAAGUUGUCCCUGAAAUAGAGGAAGGUGUUUUCUAGGGUAGUGGUAAUUAUCACAGUCAAAAAAGUAGGCGAGAGCACUUAGGAAAACUGUGCGGAGAUCGGCUGCUGAUGUGUAAAUACUGCUGAAGCUGCUUAUUCAAGAAUGCAGUCAUGAGGUCCUCAAGGGUCCACACCUGGCAUGUCCCAGGUGCAUCCCAUGGGUUGACUUUUCCGCCUGGAUCUGCACGUGCCCCAACCUAGGCCUUCAUUUAAGACCAACUUGGCCAUCCUCUGUCAAACAACAGAGCCUAGCUGGAGUCUCCUAGAAUGAGUCAUGUUGUGAACCUGGAAUACCUGAUGUUCCAACCUUUUACCUGAAGAUCCAGGCUGAGUUGUGACCCCUCUCUAAGCAGAAGCUUCACCAGAUUAGAAAACCUGAGACCCAGACGGGGGAAACUGCUUUCCAUGGUUAAUCGUCAACAACUGGCCAGGAUGGGACAGAAGCCCAUACAUAGCCUUCAUUCCAGGGCUCAGAACAAAAAGAAGGCAGUGGCCUGGGCUGCACCUGAGCUUGGCUUCACAUAGGAGGGAUUCUGGAACGCAGGAUCCUGACAACGACCUCAAGCCCCUGUAAAGCAACACAUUUUUUGGCAAGAAUCCCUGGGACAGAGAAAGAAUUUCUUCUCACUUAUUAUUGAGAAUGUUCUCAUGUCUUGCAAG
rnacentral:lncRNA from 10 species